ACUCACCCACUUCCGGCAGGGGGCUGAGUCGGGAGGAAGUGCCAGUGUCCGCAAACACAGGCACCGUGGCUCCCAGGAGUGGCCUUGGCACUGCCUCUGAAUGGGCUCUGUUCUAUUCACAGUUGACCCCCUGAGGUUCAUGGGGCGCCACUGUCUCGGGGCCCUUCCUGGGGCAGGUCAGCUCCCAGCCCUCCCCAGCUUCUCUGAUCUGCUUGUUCCUGUCAUGCCCUGGAGGCCAACUUCUGAUCUGUUCUUGCAUUUCCUUUGGUCCCUCUCUUUGCCGCAAAGAUGCCCUCCUUGCUCCAGCCCUGCUCUGGGCUCCGGACGCUGAGGCCACACAGUGGAGAGAAAUGCCUCCCCUCUCCCUCGGGCCCCUUCCUCUCCACCUGGGCGGGGCCUCCCAGGAAGCCUGGAAUGUGUUCUUCUCCAGCCCCCUGCCCUCACCAGGUGUCCUGGCCCCUUCCACCUGCUACCAGCCCUAGACUUGGCCCAGCCUCCUCUGAGCCCUGUUCACUCGGGGCGUGUCUGGUGCCGGUGCCUCAAGGGUGGAGACGCAGAAGCCGGCGACCUAGGGUGUCUCGGACGCAAGCUUGCUGCGACACCCUGGACUGCAGUUAAGGAGAGCCGACGGACGAGGUCUCUUCCGGCUCUAGCAUUCCAUACGUCUGUGACCUGAAGAGCCCUUUGCCCUGGCUCGCUCAGCAAAUUCAUGAUGUCACAGAGAGCAGAACCCACAGCCUUCUCUGCUCACGGAGGAGAUUCUAGACGUGCUGUGGACUGCCUGAACCAGGGACAGUCUAUUCCCGUCCUCCUGUGAAUGACCGCUGAGGAAGACCAUGAAUGAGGCAAAGGAGUCCCUGCGAAGCAUCGAGCAGAAGUACAAGCUCUUCCAGCAGCAACAGUUUACGUUCAUCGCCGCUCUGGAGCACUGCAGGGAGAACGCCCACGACAAGAUCCGGCCCAUCACCAGCAUCGGACAGACAUUUCCACUUAGCCUGGGCCUCCCUCGAGUCAGCUGCUAUCCCAGUUUGCUCUGCAGGACCCGGAGGCCUCGACACCGAGCGCGCCCUCCAGGGAGCAGCACCCUCCUUGGUACAGAGCUACACGGACCAUCACUGCAACAACUCCACGGACCGGCGCAUUCUGCUCAUGUUUCUGGACAUCUGCACGGAGCUGAACAAGCUGUGCCAGAGCUUCGAGGCCCUGCACUCUGGCACCCCGGUCACCAACAACCUGCUCGAGAAAUGCAAAUCCCUGGUCAGCCAGAGCAACGACUUGAGCAGCCUCAGGGCAAAGUACCCUCACGACGUGGUGAACCACCUCAGCUGCGACGAGGCCAGGAACCACUACGGAGGCGUCGUCAGCCUCGUCCCCAUCAUCCUAGACUUAAUGAAGGAAUGGAUCGCCCACUCGGAGAAGCUGCCCCGCAAAAGUCUGCAGCAUGCUCUGUGCCCACUUCGUGUCGCUGGGAGAGGCUGGUGAGCCAGGGCACUGGCCGGCCCUGGCCUUCUGGGAGCUCCAGGCCCGCACCCUGCCAGACCCGCCCACACCACAGGCCCGCCUCUCCAGGCUGAGCCACCAAGGGGGAGGCCACAGGGCUCCCUUGCGGCCACCGCGGCCACCCACCAUAGAGCUGCUCCUCCUGCCGGAAGCUGGGGGCCAGGCGGCGAACUUCCAGCAGGGGGCGACUUAGAUUCUGUACUCUUGCUUCCUCGGGGCGACCGUCAAGAAUAAAAAAUGUUCUCCCACCUGUC